rnacentral:rRNA from 1 species
ACGGAAGGCAGCAGUGGGGAAUAUUGGACAAUGGGGGAAACCCUGAUCCAGCGACGCCGCGUGAGUGUAGAAGUAUUUCGGUAUGUAAAGCUCUAUCAGCAGGGAAGAAAAUGACGGUACCUGACUAAGAAGCACCGGCUCAAUACGUGCCAGCAGCCGCGGUAAUACGUAUGGUGCAAGCGUUAUUCGGAUUUACUGGGUGUAAAGGGAGCGUAGACGGCAUGGCAAGUCUGAAGUGAAAUGCGGGGGCUCAGCCCCUGAGCUGCUUUGGAAACUGUCGAGCUAGAGUGUCGGAGAGGUAAGUGGAAUUCCUAGUGUAGCGGUGAAGUGCGUAGAUAUUAGGAGGAACACCAGUGGCGAAGGCGGCUUACUGGACGAUAACUGACGUUGAGGCUCGAAAGCGUGGGGAGCAAACAGGAUUAGAUACCCUGGUA